rnacentral:pre_miRNA from 1 species
AUUGAAAAUACUGGAGUCUUGGACAGAUUGAGAACCCUGAGAGAGAUCAUGCUGAUCAAAAGUCCUAAUGGAACUUCUCUAAUUGGAUUAGAGCCUAACAUGAGACUCACAAGUUUUCAGCAUCUGAACUCGAUGGGUAUAUGGUCAAU